CGGAAAUUAAACACCUUCAACAGAACAACCUGAAGUUGAGCGAGGAAAAGGCCAUCAGGAACUUCAGGGAGAGGCUGAGGAGCAAAACAGUGCAGAAGUUUUCUCUGAAUGAACUGCUCCUGAAAGAAAAUUCCCAGCUUAUGGAAAACAGCGCAGAAUUCUGCAGGGAACUGGAGGAGAAACAGGAUUGAGGAAUUGGAGAUACAGUUAGAAGUUGAAAGAUCGGAAUAUAAGAGCCUCCUCUGCAGGGUUCUGCAGCAAGCUGGGGAGAAACAGGAGCUCCUCACGGAGAAUAAAAAGCUGAAGGAACAACUGGC